rnacentral:rRNA from 1 species
CAGCCCCGCGGGAACACAGAGGGUGCGAGCGUUAAUCGGAUUUACUGGGCGUAAAGCGUGCGUAGGCGGCUUCUUAAGUCGGAUGUGAAAUCCCUGAGCUUAACUUAGGAAUUGCAUUCGAUACUGGGAAGCUAGAGUAUGGGAGAGGAUGGUAGAAUUCCAGGUGUAGCGGUGAAAUGCGUAGAGAUCUGGAGGAAUACCGAUGGCGAAGGCAGCCAUCUGGCCUAAUACUGACGCUGAGGUACGAAAGCAUGGGGAGCAAACAGGAUUAGAUACCCCUGUAGUCCCUGUCUCUUAUACA